rnacentral:ribozyme from 13 species
AAAAAAAAAAAAGCAGAAGCAAAAAGCGAAAAGCAAAAAAAAGUGAAAAGCAAUUUUGUCUCUUUCUCUAAUAUUUCUUUUGCUUCCUCUUUUGUUUUUUUCUUCCCUUUUGUUCUCUUUAUUUUUUCUUUUU